rfam:Lucilia cuprina strain LS Scaffold1337, whole genome shotgun sequence.
ACUCUUUAGCGUUGGACGUUUUAUGUCUUGUCGGGUGAUUAGCCAGACACUAAUUUAUUGAGCACA